AAUCAGCUCCUUUAGCCUUAUAGGCUAGAUUCCAAAAGUUCUAGCUUUGCCGUCAUUCCUUUGUAUUUUUUAUGACGCCGGGUUAAGACGGAAAGACUAAAACACCUUUUUCCCUAGGGAAUUAGGUUCCAACAAGUCUGCAAAACUCUAACCUUAUUGGGUUUCCAUGAGUUUUUGCCUGAGUGUUGCGAGUAAAGCUCAUAAGAAGUUUGUCUUUUACGCUGGGCGUAAAAUGUCCUCUGAAGAUGAGCUUUUCUAGGAAAUCCUAAGCAACUAGAUCAGGUUUUCUACGAACUGGAAAAAGAUUCCUCUUUUUUAUCUUCUGUCCCAAUUGGGCAGAAGUGAAAGUGGACUUGUUUUUCUGCACCUGUUCCGAAAGGGAAAAGGUGAACUAGGCGUAGCCAGGAUGGAGACCAGGCUAGGUGAGCAAUAAAUCCUUUCCUAGGCUUAAAACCAGCUAGUCCUCGUCAUAGUCCUGGAUUUCCUCUUGAAAGCUCGUCCUCUUUUUAGUAGAACCCACCACUUUCCUCAUUGGUGAGGAAAAGGUUGGGUGGAGUAAUGAGCUUCCAAGAUUUCAUCAAGCUUCUGUUUUGUUCGAGGUUAGCUGAGUUGUCCCAAGAGGCUAUCCUGGGAAUUCGCCCUUUCCAGUGAACUUGGCAAGAACUGGCACACCUGUUUUCUAAAAACUUGGGUGCUAGAAAGUCUUAGUGCCUAGUACUGCCAAGGGUUCUACUGGCAGCAGUAUCUUGACUGUGCCAAAGUACCGUAGUUUCUUGUUGCUUUAUUGGCAACCAGGGAAGUAUUCAUGAUGCCAUUCCUUUACUGGA
rnacentral:rRNA from 1 species